rnacentral:rRNA from 1 species
AUGAGUAAUGCUACCAUCUCAGUUUGUUCUUGGAACAUUAGGGGUCUAGGUGAUGUGGACAAGUGUAAUGAUGUACUCUCUGAGCUAUCCUCGAUUAAACCUCAUCUGCUGCUUUUGCAAGAAACGAAAUUAGCUGAUCCUUCUAUGUUAAAAAUCAGGUCCUUUCUGCCCAGGUCGCUCGAUAUGUUCGUCACAAUGCCUGCAUCUGGAUCUGCUGGUGGCCUCCUCACAGCUACCAACUCUUCCUCCCUCACGAUUCUUUCCCACGCAAAUCACGAAUUCUGCUCAUCGGUUAAAAUCCAGACUCUUGCAAGUCCCUUAACCCUCACAAUCACUAACGUGUAUGCCCCCACAAGCCAUGCACUCAAACCCGUUUUCCUAGCAGAAUUAGCCUCCAUAGCCCCUCCAGAAAACACCCCAUGGCUACUAGUUGGCGACUUUAAUCUUAUUCGCUUCCCACACGAGAAAAACAAUGACAACUUCCACCAAAACGAGGCCACCGCUUUCAACGAAACCCUCGACUCUCUUGCCCUUCUAGAACUGCCCCUGCUUGACCGUCGCUUUACGUGGUCUAAUAAUAGAGACAAUCCAGUCUUAGAAAAGCUGGGCCGGGCCUUUUUUAACCUAGCUUGGAACAAUGCCUUCCCCAACUCUAACCUCACAUCGCUCACUCGCACCACCUCAGAUCACAUUCCACUCCUGAUCUCUCUCUCCACCUCCGUGCCC